rnacentral:rRNA from 1 species
UACGAGAGGGGUAAGCAUUAUUCAUCAUAAAUGGGUCUAAAGGGUACGGUAGGCUGUAUCAUAAGACUGAAUGGUAUCGAACUAAAUGUAUAAGAGCUUUUCAGUAACUAUGAAACUUAGAGUAUAAUGGAGGAAAAAGGAACUCCGAGAGUAGGGAUGGAAUCUGUUGAUAGCUCGGAAGACGCUUAAGGCGAAGGCUUUUUUCUAACUAAAUACUGACGCUAAGGUACGAAAGUAUGGGGAGCAAAAGCGGA